UACAAAAUAGUUAUUUUCUCUCAACCUAAAAAAAUAUAACUAGCAAAUGGGAGAUUUCUGACUUACCUUUGGAUGUGAGGUAGGUCUCUGUUCUAACUAGAAUGAAUCCCAGGACCUGGUUUUAUUUUAGCCUUUUCCUUUGACUUUGUUAAGUCAGUACCAAGCCCCACAGAGACGAAAACCAAAGGACUGCUCUGAACUUGGGUCUCUGCUCCUUUGCAUCUUUGAUAUUUUCAGAUGUCAAGGCUAACGAUUCAUGCACAUUGAUAGGUUUUUCCACUCCUACAGGGUACUUCAGCCGCCCCUGGCAGUGGGAGAAGAUCAAGGCCAACUGCCCUCACAUUAUACAGUUUGGCUCUACUGAUGACCCCUUCCUUCCAUGGAAGGAACAACAAGAAGUGGCAGAUAGGCUGGACGCCAAACUGUACAAAUUCACUGACCGUGGUCACUUUCAGAACACAGAGUUCCAUGAACUGAUUAGAGUGGUGAAGUCUAUGCUGACUCCUGCUCUGUAACACGCCAGGAUGGGGUAGAAGAGUAACAGCCGCUACCCUCACACAGCUUAGACAUGGGACGUCCGUCCAGUUAGACUACAGAAGUGUCUGAGCAACAAACCCAUUUGAACACUCACACUGAGUAACUAGCACUUCCAGUUCCCACAGAGCUUAAAUCUCCCCGAAAAGCUACUAGCUACAGCAGUAUGUUUCCUGUUUGAUAAGAGACAGGUUUUUUAUUUUUAGCUAUCCUGUUGAUGCAAAGAGAGUUAAGUCAGAAGAAUCCAGAACUUGACAUAGACCUGGUUGUGUGUCCCUGUAAUCAUUUCAGAAAAAGCAGGGGAUCAGGAGGGGAAGGCUAUCUUGACCCUGUCUCAGAAAGAGUGAGCAAGAAGAUGACCCAGGUCUCCUGAGGCUCAUUCCAAAUUAUAACUCACUAUGUUUAGCAAGAUGUGUUCCACUUCUGAGACCCCAGUACUUGGAAAACUGAGGAAGGUAGAUCUUGAGUUUGAGACCUUGUCUAGGCUAAGUAAAACCCUGUCUCAAAACAACAACAAAAACAGGUUUUCAUUCAACUUAUAUGACUGACACUUUCCAUUUUGUAAUAAAAAUUUUCUCUUACUGGGGAAAUGAAAACACGAUUCAAGGUCCAGAAUGUUGUCUUAGAACUCAAAACUCUGGUUGCUCUUUAAAACUGGCUCAAGAGAAUAAACUCAAACUUGGGUGUUCAUCAUUGAAAUUCCUGACCCCACCACGUCCCCAAGUCCUUCUAACAGGUUGAGAGAGAACAACAUAUGGAUGCUUAGUAAGGGAGCUGCAGGGGACAGAUAAUCUGUAUAUCAACUGUAUAGGACUGGCAGGAUUCAGUCAUGGGGAAGUGCUGCAAUAUAGAAAUGUGACCAAUACUUAUGUCUUUUUUUAACUAGAGGAAUAUAUGUGUAUAUAAUUCCUACAUGAAUUAUGGUAGCUGGGAACAGCAUUGUAAUUAAAAGAUUUGCAAAUGCUACAAGACAAAGACCAGGUCAUCCCUUUGUGAACUUGGUCGUAAACAUUUUUAGAAUCUCUAUGAAGUCCAAGAAAAACAAGAUAACUAAAAUGGACAUAAUACUAAAGGGUGGAAAACAAGGGAGCAAUCUGUAUUUUGUUAUUAAGUUUUUAAGUAUCUUCAAAAGAACUUUUCCAGGGCUAGGGAGAAGGCUGAACAGUCAAGAGCACUGACUUUUUUCCAGAGGUUCUGAGUUCAAUUCCCAGCAACUACAUGGUAGCUCACAACCAUCUGUAAUGGGACCCGAUGCCCUCUUCUGGUGUGUCUGAAGACAGCUACAGUGUACUCACAUACAUAAAAUAAGUAAAUCUUAAAAAAAGAAAAAAAAGAAAAGAAAGAAAAAAGAAAAAACUUUUCCACAAUGCAAGUUUAACUCUAGAAUAUUCAACCUCUUGUAGAGCGCAUUCAAGGAACACUGCAGAUUUUUCUUAUACUCACUCAAAAAUAAACAACUCCUUUUUAAAACUGCUUUUUAUAUUGUAUAAUUCGAUGUAUAAAAUGGUUUCAUGAUUACAUUUUUGCUGGCUUAUAAAGUACUUUGUCCACAUGUUUAAAAAAAUGAAAUAAACUGUUUAUUUCCUAGU
rnacentral:lncRNA from 1 species